UCCUUCCUCUACCCUACGUAAAUAAUAACCGCUCCGUACCGAGUUCACUACUGGAGACCUGGUGCCUUUCGGAAAGAGGACGAGGGUAGAGUCCUCUGGAGUUAUAACUCGCUCCAGGAUUGUCUAUUUUAACUCCUCUCAGUGGAAAGGUCUCAUUAAAAGGUUUCCCCUCCACAGCUCUUGCACAGCACGUGACGGACUCCUAAGGCUUCCCUGUGAACCCACCGCACGAAGCGAGCGCGGCAUGGAGAGGGGAGGUUGUGUUUGCCAGGCUGCCAGCGUUCUUGCUUCUGUUUCCUGAACUCUGUCUUCGACUUCACCAUGUCCUCCCUGAGGUCUUCCACUUGCUGACUGAAGUGAGAAGGUCCCUUGCCCAUGUCCUGCACGCUGCAUGUCCCUCCGAAGAUUCUUACCCACCUCCUCAAGUGGGGGAAAAAAAAAGUAUCCCGACAGUUCUUUGUUUCGCUACGUUUCUGCCCACUGAGAAGCGUUUCAAUUUUGGGUGCCUGAGCCCCGAACGCCGAGCAAUUCAGCUCUGCUACAGACUCCUCCUUUCAGGCUUUAACCACAAGGCAUGAGUGGGGUGAUCCACACCAAAACAAGGCUGCACAAGCAAAUAGCAGUGCUGCUCACGGUGUCACUGCUGCACCCGGGAGUGGGGCUGUGCACCCCGGGGAUGGAGGAAAUUGGAGAUGGGGAGGCUUCUUGCCUACCCUGGGCUUCUGUGCUUCUCCCAGAGCCCCCCCCAGUUCACCUCUCUUCGCGGGACAGAUCCUGCCUUAGAUCCUGUGCAGACCAACGGCCUUACACAGCCAAGCUGCUCCCAUCUUCCCUGUGAAACCAGCUCAUUAACGAGCGAAGCCAGACCCUGCCAGCUCCCCCUCUAAUAAAGCAAACUGAAGAGCAAGUUGAGUCCCAAGAUUUACCUGGUGUUUUCUUAAAGAAAAAAAAAAAAAAAAACAAAACAACUCAAACCAAAAGCUUUUGUAUUCCAAGCACUUCUGCGGAGUUUGGAAAUAAAGAUGUUACAACUCUCCGCAAAGCGUAUGCCUCUUAGCGAUUGACAGCUUUCCCUGUGUGACACCCAAUGAACUUGUCCAACAGAUGGACCUGGAAGAAAAAAAGGGAGGAAAGGUGCCUAAGAAGCCUUAAACCUCUGAUAUUCAGUUUAUUAAAAUUUGAUGGUGAGCUAUUAAUAAUUAAUGCAGCCAGGAAGAUGGGAGAACCGCAGUAUAAUGGCCUCGAGAUUUCUAGUUAGCCAGAUUUCUCUACAGAGCUGGGAAAGAAGAGAGCAGCUUUCAAGAGGAUGAAAAGGCUCCUCUGAGGGACAGAUGUAAGCAGCAGUCAGCAACGGUCUCUGCGGGCUGGGUAGAUCGCUGGAAGAGGAUUUUAAGCGUUUCUUUCAUUAAAAGCUGAACUGGGGGUGGGUGGUGCGCAUGUCUCGUAAGGAAAAGAUGCUCAUGAAUGCCAAGACCUCGAGUACAAGGACUGGGUGAAGCCACGGAGUGUAUCUAAGGCUCUUCUGAACAGUCACCAGCAGAUGAAGUGAUCUGAGGCCUCGCCCACACCACAGUUUGUUCAGUCAGCUGCUGUAGGUCUUUUAACAGAGGUGCUUUUUAAUGCAGCACAAACAUCUUAUUAAGUCAAGCACUGAAGAAAUGUCACUUUGAUUUUGACACACUACCCACAAAGUAUGAUGUAUUUUCUGUUCUGUGGUGUUGUCAAGGUGGAGGAAUGAAUUAGCAUGGAUUUUUAA